GCCCUCUUGUUAGCUUGUUAGCCAGUUCUUUGUUCUUUGUUUCACAGCAGAGGUGUUAAGAGGUUGGAGGGAAAAAAAACUGUGAAAACCUCCUGCUAUCAACAACUAUCACUUAAUGUCACCUUAAACAGAAUUAAAGAUGCUUUGCCAGAGCUCAAAAAUGAGAGUGAUCCACCUGUAAUCUACUCGGCAGUGAGAACUGAAGACAUCAGUUAUGGACAAAUAACUAUCAGACCAAAGAGGACCAGAGACUUUAAACCAGAGCCAGACGUCGUCUACUCUUCACUGAAGUAGUCCACCAGUCCAACCACUGACAUCCAGCUGCUGGUCUCUAACUGGUCCCCCAGCACCUCAGAUCAACGUGUUCAAAAGAUUUUUUUUUUU
ensembl:lncRNA